rnacentral:misc_RNA from 1 species
GAAAUGCGAUAAGUAAUGUGAAUUGCAGAAUUCCGUGAAUCAUCGAAUCUUUGAACGCACAUUGCGCCCCCUGGUAUUCCGGGGGGCAUGCCUGUCCGAGUGUCAUUGCGAACCCCUCAAGCACGGCUUGUGUGAUGGGCCCUCCCGCGUCUUGGUCGUCAAGACGGGCCCGAAAUGCAGUGGCGGCUUCGCGGUUAUCCGAUCAGCCAGAGCGUAUGGGGACUUUCUCUCUGUCACACGCCCGCGGCGCGGACCGACGCCUGUCGACCUUCAUUCAUCGUUUUCUCGGUUGACCUCGGAUCAGGUAGGGAUACCCGCUGAACUUAAGC